AGAGUUUGAUCCUGGCUCAGGAUGAACGCUGGCGGCGUGCUUAACACAUGCAAGUCGAACGAAACACCUUAUCUGAUUUUCUUCGGAACUGAAGAUUUGGUGAUUGAGUGGCGGACGGGUGAGUAACGCGUGGGUAACCUGCCCUGUACAGGGGGAUAACAGUCAGAAAUGACUGCUAAUACCGCAUAAGACCACAGCACCGCAUGGUGCAGGGGUAAAAACUCCGGUGGUACAGGAUGGACCCGCGUCUGAUUAGCUGGUUGGUGAGGUAACAGCUCACCAAGGCGACGAUCAGUAGCCGGCUUGAGAGAGUGAACGGCCACAUUGGGACUGAGACACGGCCCAAACUCCUACGGGAGGCAGCAGUGGGGAAUAUUGCACAAUGGGGGAAACCCUGAUGCAGCGACGCCGCGUGAGUGAAGAAGUAUCUCGGUAUGUAAAGCUCUAUCAGCAGGGAAGAAAAUGACGGUACCUGACUAAGAAGCCCCGGCUAACUACGUGCCAGCAGCCGCGGU
rnacentral:rRNA from 1 species